rnacentral:rRNA from 1 species
CCUACGGGAGGCAGCAGUGGGGGAUAUUGCACAAUGGGGGAAACCCUGAUGCAGCGACGCCGCGUGUGGGAAGACGGUCCUCUGGAUUGUAAACCACUGUCCCCAGGGACGAAGAUGACGGUACCUGGGGCGGAAGCUCCGGCUAACUACGUGCCAGCAGCCGCGGUAAUACGUAGGGAGCGAGCGUUGUCCGGAAUUACUGGGUGUAAAUGGAGGGUAGGCGGGACUGCAAGUUGGGUGUCAAAUCUACCGGCUCAACCGGUAGCCGCACUCAAAACUGCAGUUCUUGAGUGAAGUAGAGGCAGGCGGAAUGCCUAGUGUAGCGGUGAAAUGCGUAGAUAUUAGGAGGAACACCAGUGGCGAAGGCGGCCUGCUGGGCUUUUACUGACGCUGAGGCUCGAAAGUGUGGGGAGCAAACAGGAUUAGAUACCCUUGUAGUC